rnacentral:rRNA from 1 species
AGGGUUUGAUCCUGGCUCAGAUUGAACGCUGGCGGCAUGCCUAAUACAUGCAAGUCGAACGGCAGCAUAGGCGAUGAUCCCGCAGGGGUGAAUUGCCUGAUGGCGAGUGGCGGACGGGUGAGUAAGGCAUGGGAAUUUACCGUAUAGUGGGGAAAAACUUAGAGAAAUCUAGGCUAAUACCGCAUAAUCUCUACGGAGGAAAGGGGGCCUCUUCUUGAAAGCCCUCGCUAAACGAAAAGCCCAUGUCCGAUUAGCUUGAUGGUGAGGUAAAGGCUUACCAUGGCUACGAUCGGUAACUGGUCUGAGAGGACGACCAGUCACACUGGGACUGAGACACGGCCCAGACUCCUACGGGAGGCAGCAGUAGGGAAUCUUGGACAAUGGGGGAAACCCUGAUCCAGCAAUGCCGCGUGUGUGAAGAAGGUUUACGGAUUGUAAAGCACUUUCAGCGGGGAAGAAACCAAUGAGAUUAAUACCCUCAUAUAUGACGUUACCCGCAGAAGAAGCACCGGCUAAUUCCGUGCCAGCAGCCGCGGUAAUACGGGAGGUGCAAGCGUUAAUCGGAGUUACUGGGCGUAAAGGGUGCGUAGGUGGUGUAGAAAGUCAGAUGUGAAAUCCCCGGGCUUAACCUGGGAACUGCAUUUGAAACUUCAACACUAGAGUACGAUAGAGGAAAGCAGAAUUUCGGGUGUAGUAGUGAAAUACGCAGAUAUCCGAAGGAAUACCAACGGCGAAGGCAGCUUUCUGGGUCGAUACUGACACUG